rnacentral:rRNA from 1 species
CACCCGUUCCCAUUCCGAACACGGAAGUUAAGCUCUCCAGCGCCGAUGGUAGUUGGGGCCAGCGCCCCUGCGAGAGUAGGUCGUCGCUAGGC